AGUGAACGCCGGCGGUAGGCCUAACACAUGCAAGUCGAACGGCAGCACAGUAAGAGCUUGCUCUUACGGGUGGCGAGUGGCGGACGGGUGAGGAAUACAUCGGAAUCUACUUUUUCGUGGGGGAUAACGUAGGGAAACUUACGCUAAUACCGCAUACGACCUACGGGUGAAAGCAGGGGAUCUUCGGACCUUGCGCGAUUGAAUGAGCCGAUGUCGGAUUAGCUAGUUGGCGGGGUAAAGGCCCACCAAGGCGACGAUCCGUAGCUGGUCUGAGAGGAUGAUCAGCCGCACUGGAACUGAGACACGGUCCAGACUCCUACGGGGGGCAGCAGUGGGGAAUAUUGGACAAUGGGCGCAAGCCUGAUCCAGCCAUACCGCGUGGGUGAAGAAGGCCUUCGGGUUGUAAAGCCCUUUUGUUGGGAAAGAAAAGCAGCAGGUUAAUACCCCGCUGUUCUGACGGUACCCAAAGAAUAAGCACCGGCUAACUUCGUG
rnacentral:rRNA from 1 species